CCUACGGGUGGCAGCAGUGAGGAAUAUUGGUCAAUGGGCGCGAGCCUGAACCAGCCAAGUAGCGUGAAGGAUGACUGCCCUACGGGUUGUAAACUUCUUUUAUAAAGGAAUAAAGUGAGGCACGUGUGCCUUUUUGUAUGUACUUUAUGAAUAAGGAUCGGCUAACUCCGUGCCAGCAGCCGCGGUAAUACGGAGGAUCCGAGCGUUAUCCGGAUUUAUUGGGUUUAAAGGGAGAGGAGAUGGGUUGUUAAGUCAGUUGUGAAAGUUUGCGGCUUAACCGAGGAAUUGCAAUUGAUACGGGGUGUCGUGAGGGCAGGAGAGGUAAGGGGAAUACGUAGGGUAGCGGUGAACUGCGUAGAUAGUAGGAGGAACACCAGUGGAGAAGGCGAAUUACUGGACUGUAACUGACGUGGAGGCUCGAAAGUGUGGGGAGCAAACAGGAUUAGAUACCCGAGUAGUC
rnacentral:rRNA from 1 species